rnacentral:rRNA from 1 species
AACGAACGCUGGCGGCAGGCCUAACACAUGCAAGUCGAGCGCGCCCUUCGGGGUGAGCGGCGGACGGGUGAGUAACGCGUGGGAACGUGCCCUUUUCUACGGAAUAGCCUCGGGAAACUGAGAGUAAUACCGUAUACGCCCUUUGGGGGAAAGAUUUAUCGGAAAAGGAUCGGCCCGCGUUGGAUUAGGUAGUUGGUGGGGUAAUGGCCUACCAAGCCGACGAUCCAUAGCUGGUUUGAGAGGAUGGUCCGGCACACUGGGACUGAGACACGGCCCAGACUCCUACGGGAAGCAGCAGUGGGAAAUCUUAGACAAUGGGGGCAACCCUGAUCUAGCCAUGCCGCGUGAGUGAUGAAGGCCUUAGGGUUGUAAAGCUCUUUCAGCUGGGAAGAUAAUGACGGUACCAGCAGAAGAAGCCCCGGCUAACUCCGUG